rnacentral:rRNA from 1 species
GCUUACGCGCCAUACCACCCUGAACACGCCCGAUCUCGUCCGAUCUCGGAAGCUAAGCAGGUCGGGCCUGGUUAGUACUUGGAUGGGAGACCGCCUGGGAAUACCAGUGCGUAAGCU